AAGUGUUACAGCUCUCUCAGAAUUUGUCUAGCAGGUUUUCUGGUCUCUACCAGAAGAACACCCCC
rnacentral:snRNA from 1 species